ACCCGCUGAACUUAAGCAUAUCAAUAAGCGGAGGAAAAGAAACUAACAAGGAUUCCCCUAGUAACUGCGAGUGAAGCGGGAAAAGCUCAAAUUUAAAAUCUGGUGGCUUUUGGUCAUCCGAGUUGUAAUUUAGAGAAGCGUCUUCCGCGCUGAACCGUGCACAAGUCUCCUGGAAUGGAGCGUCAUAGAGGGUGAGAAUCCCGUCUUUGGCACGGAACAUCAGGGCUUCUGUGAUGCGCUCUCGACGAGUCGAGUUGUUUGGGAAUGCAGCUCAAAAUGGGUGGUGAACUCCAUCUAAAGCUAAAUAUUGGCGAGAGACCGAUAGCGAACAAGUACCGUGAGGGAAAGAUGAAAAGCACUUUGGAAAGAGAGUGAAACAGUACGUGAAAUUGUUGAAAGGGAAACGCUUGAAGUCAGUCGCGUCGACCGAGACUCAGCCUUGCCUUGGCUUGGUGUACUUCUCGGCUGACGGGUCAGCAUCAAUUUUGAUCCUCGGAUAAUGGCAAGGGAAAGGUAGCACCUUUUUAGGUGUGUUAUAGUCCUUCGUCGCAUACGGGGGUUGGGAUUGA
rnacentral:rRNA from 1 species